ACCUCAGGUGAUCCACCCACCUCGACCUCCCAAAGUGGUGGGAUCAUUUAGAUUUUUAAAGCGCUUAUUCAUUGGAAAACUAGAACAAUAUCCCUGUAUGUUGAGUUUGCUGAGAGUUUGCUCUGACAACCUCAAACCUUCCAACCAAAAGCAACUUCAUGGGCUUCUUUCCAAAUUCUCUAUGGUUUACAAGCAUUCUGUUGGGCUUCCCUAGUCCCACUGACACCCUUUCUUCUACAUGGCAGCAGCUGUCUGUGGUGGCAGCACUCCCAAACUCUUGCUUCUGAGUUUGAGUGACCAUUUGCCUCUUGGCCGGGUUGGUUUACAGACUCCAUCAGAAGUCCCCAUGCUUUGUGUUCUGCUUUCAGAUCCUUUGCUAAUUGCUUCUUUCUUUUGAGGGGCACAAAAACUGCCUGAGCUUCCCUGCCCCAGUAGGCAGGAUGUUCUCUGCUUUCAGAUGUGUCAGCCCUUCCAAAAUGUACUCUUGAUCUUGGGAAAAGAAGUAAUUAGCCUGAUGAGGAAUAUACUGCUGUUUCAGCAGUUUUCUCACUGCUGGGUUUUGAAGUAAUAGAGGGCCAGGCAGGUCAGAAAGAAGUUGAGUGCUGUUGAGUUUCAAUGCCCCACUAAGCUCACAUAGCAACUACUGGCACUCAAAGCUCAUUAGUUCUAACCCAACACUGCUAAUCGCCCCGAGUGAUGAAUCCGCUUUCAUGAACACUUAGAGAAGUAUUUGCUAACAUUUAACCUCAGCGUGCCCUGCAUGGCCUUCAAGGUCUCACAAGUUGAUAUAAACUUGAAGAAAGAGUACAUCAAGCAUUAUCAUAGGAAAGAUGGGCCUACGUUGUGGGGUCCUCAUAUAGACAAAAAUCGCUCUAAUGAUUCCUCUUAGAAGAACUUUAUCAUAUUGUUACAGGCAAUGUUCCUCUCUUCUUGGUAACCCUAGGAUUGAGGGAAGUGUGUUUGGAUCUGUGGCUACAACUCUUUAGAUAUGGGUUUCUCAACCCCAACACUAUUGAUAUUCCAGGAUGGAUAAUUCUUUGUUUGGGGGCUGUUCUACGCAUUGUAGAAUUUGGGCAGCAUCUCUGGACUGCAUAGAUAGAUGCCAGUAGCAACCUCCCUUUCCUCCACUCUCUGUCCAGGGUGUGAUAACAACUACUAGUGUCUCCAGACGUGGCCAAAUGUCUCCUGAGGGCAAAAUUGUCCUCUGAUGAAAACCACUGCUUUAGAAAAUUGCCACCGACAUUGAAUUUAAAAAGUGGAAUACAGUAAAAUAGAAUCAGAAAAAAAAAAAAUCAGACAACAUAGCGUAAGAGACAGUACUGUUUCAUAAACAUGUAUUUCAUAUUCAUCUGUGUGUAUGUAUAUGCCUAUAAAUAACAUGGAUUAUGGUUAAAAAAAAAGUUAACAAUACUGAGAGACUUGACCCUCAGAAAGUCUAUUGUUUAUCUGUGCUAUUACUAAGAGAUGGAUUACAGUCUCCCAUUUAGAAAUCUAUUUCUCUUCAAUAUUGUAUCGUAUGCUUUUGUUUGAUUGUUCUUAAUUUAGUAUGGUUUUCUUUCAACAACUAAUGGGCACUUUGUUUUCUACCUUAUUGAGACAAGUUUAGUGAUUUCUGUCUACCUUAGAUAAUAUAAAAGUAUCAAAACAAAAUAUCAUAGGUCAUCUAGGAGAUUAGGGAGUCUAUAUGCUGAGGGAAAUAGCAAAAUAUGUGCAAAGCUGCCCAAUCUCGCAUCUCCGGGCUUAUUAUAUAUUUCAGGAGACAAUUAUUAAGCAAUGCGUAUUUAAAUCUCACUUUAUAGACAGAUGAUACAGGUUAGAUGGUUAAUACCAAGUUAAAUUAGACAAGAAAAUGGCCAUUUGCUGUCAGUUGGGGACAUAUGAAUGAACACAUAAAAACUGAAACAAUAAAAAAUGGCAAAAUAAUAUUUAAUGAUACCAAAACUGUUUCAAGUCAAGUCAAGCUUCCUAGACCAAAAAAACCUAAAAAACAAAAAACAAAAAAAGCAAGUACAAAAGAUAACCUUUUCAGUUUUGGCCAUAAGUUUGUGGUAACCCCAGAACACAGAAGUGGAGUUUUAUUGAGAGUGAUAAAGCACAUAUUCAAGCUAAAACAGACAGCUAGGGUGAGUGAGAAAUGCUGCAUGCUUAGAAAAAAAUAGAAGUGGGUCAAGAUAGGAACCAAAGGCAGAAGUGAGAAGUUACACAAGCUAGGAAUUUCACAAAAGAGAGAGGAUGAACUAGGUCUCAAGAGUCCAGCAUCUGAGACUCUAGGAUCAAACUAAAGACGAAGUGAAGCUUUCUCUAUUUUCUUCUUAAAGAUUUCCUUUCUAGAAAAAGAUAAAUAAAUAAAUAAACCCAAUCUGCAUUUGAAGAUCUGGCCACGUAGUUGUAUGGAAAGUGAGUGAAACAACAAGGAAAAGACGAAGAAUAUGGCCUGUCUAGUUAAUUUCUUGAGCAGGAAACUGGAUCAGUGUAUAUGUGUAAGUGUGUCUGCAUACUCCCAAGUCUGGGAGGGAGUUAAGUAAUCAAGAGCCCUGAGGACCAAGAAGACAGACAUCACCUGCUCUGGGUUUGGUAAUUAAGGCAUUAUCCAUCACCCCGGGAGCGGAGUGGACCCUGGUGGGAGAGUGAAGCCCCCCUGCUCCCCACGGCACAAAGAUUGCUCACCACAAAGUGCCAAGAGCUCAGGGUCUUUGGAAAUGCAUCUAAGAUAACCUCACAGCCCGGCAGCUUCUAGGAAGACUGAUUGAUCAACAGAAAGGGAAACAGACUCUGCUCCCAUGUAUUCCCAUUCUGCUCAUUGAUUUUCCUCCUUUUACAAACAUUUGUUCGUAGGCUUCCAACUACCGCUGCAGUGGAUCUGGCUUUGAGGAUUUUAGCUCCCCUUCAUUAUCUGUAAUUGUGUGGGGACUUCAAGUCACAAAAGGCUAAUAUUUAAAGUGCCAAUAUUCUUGGUUGCUGUUUGCUUUUUUGGGAAAUGUAUAAUUGAAGUACAAUGACCCAGUGCAGAUAAUCACGAUAUCACUAAUAAUGUUCUUAUUUUUUUUUUUUUACAGCUAUCAAUAUUCAUUCUUCUUGGCCCCCAGGAAUAGGCAGUGCUUCCUGGGUUGGCCAGAUAUAUGUAUAUAUACUGAUCCGUGUCAUUGGAAAGAAGGAGGAGAUCUACUGGAUUCUGAUUUGGGAUCCAAUUCAGAAUGGAUCAUACAGUCAGGGAAGUUAUAACGCAGCAUGAGUAACGAACGUCUCCAUUCCUAAUGGAAUGUGAAGGAUGCACUGUAUGGGCUCCAAAGUCCCAUCUACCUCUAAUAUUCUGGACAUGUGGGUCAAGGAAUAAAAACUCUGGCAGGCAACAAAAAUGAUGGGAAAUGGGACAGACACAGAGAUGUGCUACUCAGAUCACCCUUCAGGAAAGGACUUGCCUGCCAUCCAGCUGUGUGACGUGUGGGCAGCUGACAGGUUUCAGCUGUUAGAGCCUUUAGGCUCCAUCUCACUGUCGAGCUCAUGAUUUGCUCACAGAAUAGCUUGGUCAAUAGUGGAACAAGGUGGUGGCACCAAGGCUUAGCCCAGUAACUCUUGUGCUGAGCCAUCUUUGCUCCAGAGCCUCCCAUUGGUCUGGCAGAGACUGUCAGGUCUGCAUGGGGGUCUGCCCAAUCCAGCUUCCCCCCUUUUACUUGUACAGAUUUCCCUUUCUAUGACACCUUUUGUACUUCUAACUCCCUCUUAGGAUCCGCUUCCUGGAGAACUUCCAUGGUGACAGGGGAUGAGUUGCAAACAAAGUGGCGUAUGAUGCAGAAGAGGGUGUGAUGGAUCCGACCACUGGGGGAACGGAGGAAGGCGAAAUCGUGAAGGAAACGGCAUUUGAGUUGACUUUGAAGACGAAUAGGAGUUGAAUGAGUAGGACAGAAGAAAAUAGACAUUUGAAGCAGCAGGAUGGACACAUGCACAAAGGCAUGAUAUAAAGAGCAGGAUGUGGGAGCAUGGGUAAUGUAUGGAACGAUGUGGACAUGUGCAGUGGUGGGGACAGGGGGUGAAGCAGGGAGAUAAAGCUGGGAAAUAUGGGAUCCAAGAUAAACAGCUGUAACAAACGCUCUAUGUAUACACUCCUAUUGGUUUGUAGACUCUGAUAAAGGGAAAUGGUAGUCCUGGGAGAAGAAUGAGCUGCACAAAGCAAUAAAAUAUGUAGAAUUCCAUAGCAUAGUGUUUUUGACAGCCCUGAAACAGAUAUUUUACUUCUAUGUAGGUGGUUUCCUUGGAAAAAUAGCACCUGCUCUUUGUUAGGGAGAGAAUGAAUUGCUUGACCCAUGGUACAGUCAAAUCAAUCAUAUCAUAACACCAAUCCAUCAUGUAAAAUUCAUUCUCUAGGCCCACAUUUUGAGGAAAGAAAAUGGCAGUUAAUAUUCCUAUUGCUGACUACUUAUUCAAGAGAAGAAAAAGACAUGUUUACGUGGUUCUAAAAUAACUACCUUAAGCCCAUUAUCAAAUCCUAACAAGGAAGACCAUCCAUCCUAAAGAAGUUAUUUUAGAAAUCAUAAUUUGCUUUAAUUAAAAAAAAAUUUCCCAAGCUGCAUUCCAAGAAACACAGAGUCCUAUGGAUUUUUCAUUAAAAUGCUUUCCACUGUCAUCAUAAUAUGAGAAACACUGUAUGUGACAAAUCCCAUCUGACUUUUCACAGUGAAUUUUAGAAGGUCCACGGACUUUAAAAGUCUACUGUAGAAAAUCCAUUUAUGUUUGUUGAAUUCAUUUCCCAUUCAUAUUUGAUCACAAAAUCCUCCUACCUUCAUAACUCCUGUGAAAGAUAUGGAAAUAACACUACAGGGAAAACAUUUUGUGGGUUGACUUUGAGGAAUUCAAAAGCAUUUCAUAUCAAAACUUGCUGAACACAACCCCAAAGUCUCCUUGUAAAUGUUUUAGGGUCACUCCAUGAAAUGAGAGGGUGGCUAAGCAGGUGGGUUCUAGAGCUCCUCUCCCCAAUUCAAUCAUCGUGGAUUGUAUUAUGUAUUAAGAAUUUGUAACAGAUAUUUAAGAAUAAAAAAAAGAGUUCUAGUGCUACAUUUGAAAUCACAACAGUAAUCACUCAAUCUAUUUAUCUAACUACACACACACACACACACACACACACACGGGUUGGGGUGGGCAUAUAUCUACCAUUAGGAAAAGGAGAAAGACCAGGGGCUUGAUCUCAGAAGAAGAAAUGCCCCCUUUUCAUUCCUUUGAAUAGAUGCAACACAAACUUCCUAAAGGACACUCCUGCUCAGACAUAGGCAAUCCCACCUAAAAUACAGUUCUUAUUUUUAACUUUAAUGAAGUUAAGAGGAAAUUGCAAGGCUCAUUAUCACUAAUCAUUUGAGGUAUAAACGAUGUCUACAAAUGAUAUCCAGAAAAGAUGGCGACAAGAAGUUAUGGGUCAAAUGACAAUCACAACAGUAAUAUCAACAAGGUGGUCCACAUGCAUCCUCUCUAAUCCUGACAAAUGCAAAGCAAGGUGGACAUUACUGUUCCCACUCUCCAAAUGACUAAACUAAAGUGUAGAGAGCUUCAGUAACUUGUACCAAGUUAGCCAGAUGAUAAGGAGGUGUGGAAGACUUGAACCCAAGACAGGCAGAUUUCAAAAGCAGUCCUGUUACAAAGGCAGUGGGUAACACUAACUUUUAAAAAUCAUAUAUAGACAAUCUAACAAUCUGUUUGGUUAUGAAACAAAAUAGAUGGAUGCUUCUCAAAGUUAGCUCCCUUUGUAAGACUUGGGGGAGCCUACCACCCCAAAAGCUGAUAGUACUGAAUUAUGGCCUGUCUCUGCUUUAUCCUCCCCAUGACCACAGUCAGCACAACUUGCAGUCAAUACAAGUAUAAGCAACUCAAUCUCUCAGUUUUCUGUAUGUGGCUUUUCAUUUUUUCAGUGUGACAAAUGAAUACGAGGUAGGCAUUUUCUUUCUUCCACCCAGUGGUUUUACAGUAUUGACUCAAGCCCUUCCUCUCUUCCCCCGAGACCUCUUUGAGGUGGGCCAGUGAGGGCCACUGAUCCCUCUUCUCUGGCUAGAAAUGAACCCAGUGACUUUCACAUUCUGGUAAACAGAAUCAGAUGCUAUUGAGUGUUUCCAUUUGAUUGGGUCAGGCAACUAUUCCUGAGGUCACUUCAGUGUCAUUUGAACUCAAAAGAAUCCAUGUAUUACAUGAGCCUAAACUUCUUAAUUUAAUCUAACAUUUAAGGAAAAGCAUAAAAAGACGGGUGUGCAAUUUUAUCAUGAUAUCUCUCCUAAGUGAAUUCAAAGCAAAGCAUGGAUUGAUUUUGCUCAAAGACUGACCAACUCUUAAAACAUGUUCAUUAGUAAAUAGCUCACUCUUCAAAAUCAAGAACUCGGGGUUAUAUUUUCAUCCAUUUUUCUCACAGUUGCAGUUCCCAAUGAACCAGCUCCCGUUGCAUAUCACCUUCCCUUUCAUCAGAACAGGAGUUUUCAAAUGGCAGCUGUAAUUGUGGGGUUUGGGUGGGGUGCUCAUCCUAUCUCACAUCCCAACAUCUGAGUGAGGAAAAUGAAAUAGGUUUUGUCCCCUUUAAAAGUGUUUCAGACAGGAAAGACCUCCUUGAAUGUUAUAAACUUGAAUGGGAAAAAAUGUGCAUUCUCCUUCCCCACCCCCACCCAGUUCCCAGCAUCUUUGUUUGAACCAAGUCUCAAAAAACAUGUAAAUCUUGGCCCAGACUAAGCAAAUCACCUUAAAAAGGAAGGUUAGAGAACUGUUUAUUAUUUGAAAUGUCUCUCUCCAGACCUUAUUUUUGAUAAAUUGGCUUCAGCUUCAUUACUUCAUGAUAUAUCUCCCUUGACAUUUAAUUAUACUUACUCCAAACACAUUAAGCGAAUCAGUCUGAACAGCUUCUUAUUAAUAUGCAAAUUUCUCCUUUGAAAACCCAUGAAUCUGUGAAAAAUCUCUUUAGGCUUCCAUUAAACCCACUCAGGAAGUUGUAUACCUCACACAGACACUUGCCUCAUUCACUGACUCAAUGAUUCAGCAUUUACUAAUUGUCUGAGUUAACUAUUCUGGCCACAUCAAGGGGAGGUGGUAGGAAAGAGAGAGGGGACAGGGAACCAAAUGGGAUUCAGAAGCUGAACACUUAAAAGAUGAAUGAUCAGAGGCCAGGCUUGAAUUAGCGGCUGGUAAUUAGAGCUCAAAAUCAAGGCUCUUUGCAAGCACAAUCAGCCAGAUGAGUUGAAACAGCAUACUUUAAGGGGAGAAGCCACGGACUUAGUUCACCGGUGACUUCUCUGGCAAUUCUGUUUCAGAUGAAGACGGGCUGCUGAACACAGGAUCUUCUACACAUCUCAUGCCCUCCCAAGUGCUGACUGCACUUGUGUUCCUUUACCAUUGCAUUUGCAAAAGAUCUGACUGUCAUCAGGUAACACAGCGGGGCAUAGGUAGAGCAGUCCUAGUUAGGAAUGGUGCCAGGAAGACCAGGGGCUGACCAGGAGAAUGCUGAGUUCAAAUGAGGAAACAGGGUCCUAAGGCCGUCGGGAGGUCGAAGCAAAUUUCAAAGAAGCCUGAGUUGCAGAAAUUGACAAACAAAGCCUAGCGCUUCAGGAGCUAGCCGAACACCUAGCAACAAGGAGAUGGAGGCAAUAUCAUGAAGAAAUCAGUUUUCCAAGAGAGUCCAGGGCCCGAGGAGGGUCAGGAUGAAAGGGGAAUAAAGUAUAAAGUAGAGAUCAACACAAGCAAGACGUCUGGGUAUUAAGAGUUUACGAGAGAGUCGCUCUUAAAUAUCUGCUGAUGGAAUACUGAAGAUGGGGAAAGACAAUUAUUUUCCAUAGUCCUAUCAGACAAAAGUCUGAAAUUAGAGACAUCUGGGCAGCAGGAGAUAGAAGCAUCAGAGAGCAGCAUGCAGGAUUUAGGUUCUGGAGGUUUUUAUCAUCUUUGUUGAAUAUUUCCAAGACAUAUUUGCAACUAGUAAACAAUAUGGUUAUGGUUACACACACACAAAUAUAUAUAUAUAAAUAUAUAAAUAUAUAUUUAUAUGCUUUGACUUAUGAUGAAAAUGGAGGAAAUAUAAUAGGUUCUUUUCAGUGACAUCUGGAUCUCACCCUGAAUAAUCUCAUCCACUCUAGACCUCAGUCCCAUCAUCUUAUCAAAAAAGGACAACAGCACCUGCUCCAUCGUUUUUAUAGUGUUGCUGUAAGAAUUAAAUUGAAUAGAACAUGUCAAGAUUGCGGAGGAGGGGGGAACUGUGUAAAGUGUAAAAUACCUACAUGUAUAAGGUUAGUAUAUAUAGUCAAGUUAAGCUUUCUCAUUUGCAUACCAACCUUGUAAAUGGCAUCCACUGCUAAGUAGAAAUUAAACUGCUUAAUAAGGGAAACAGGAAAGAAACUAAUAUUUAAUACAUAUCUGCUAUAAUCCACACACUGCUUAAGGUGACUUUUGUAGUUUAUCUCACUUUAGCCUUACAGAAACCCUGAAGAAACAGAAAAAGGAAAUGUCAUCUUCCUAAGUCUUGUUCGGAAGGAGAAAAUCUAGAACAGAGACUCGUUUUCAAUGAGUUCCCAGAUCUUUAAAGGGGAGAUAAGAAAAAUAAUAAUGAAAAUAUACAAAGAAUUGUUAUAAUCUGAAGUUAUUAAUUUUUAAGGCAACUCUGUAUCUGUCAUUUGAGAUUGGUUACAUUCGUUGCAAAGAAUUUAAAUCAAAAUAACAAAAAGCAGGAGAAAUCUGAUUGCAUCAAGAUAGAAAGAUGUUACUUUCAUGGAAACGACUUCCUAAAGCUUUAGAUAGGGUCUAUAAUUUGAAGAAAUAGGAGAGUAAUAACCCAAAAUGAAAAAAAGAACAAAAUGUUCAGUGAUACUUAUUGUCGUCAAAGAUCAUAGUCCAGAGUAUAAAGUUCUUUUCUUGCUUGUUUAAAAUUCCUGCCUUAUAUUUAGUGUAACAAAUAAGAAGAGAAAGAACUUAACAUAGGAAGGACUGUAAAUCCCUGAAGAGUUUCUCUGAGAGCAUUUUCACAGAUGUCUCAGAGAAAGAGGGAGAAAGAAAUUAGGAUGAAUUUAGUGUUUUUGAGAAAACUAGCCAGAAAUACCCAUUUGGGUGCUUUCUUUUGUCUCAAUUCCAUAGAUCCCAAAGCAAUCACAAGCAUUAGAAUCUUGUUAUGAAACCAUAACCUGCAACUUUUCUUCCCCUUGACUAGGUAGGUAGAAUAAUGUGGGAAGAUGAAUGCAUGAUAUGGAGAGUCCAAAUCCUUCUUGUCCUACUUAGUAGUAGCUGUGAUAACUUAAGUCUUUGUUUCUUUGUUUCUAUAAAUGGGGUUAAUGUCUAACUUACAGUGUUACUGAGAAAAUUAAAGCAGAUACAAUAUUUAAGAUGCUUGGAAUAAGUACUCAAAAAUGGAAAAGAUUGCUGUUAAACACACUCCUUGAAGAUAGGAAACCUUUUAUUGCACUUUGCCUCCUUCAGGGCAUUUGAACAGAGCUGACUCUCAACACAUACAGUCAGUUCUUGUUAUUCUAAGUAAUUAUGUUCUAUAAAGUUGCUGCAGGCCAGGUGCGGUGGCUUACACCAGUAAUUCCAGC